GUUUCCAAGACCUGUAGGUAUUAAGAAACCGUAUAAUUUGCAAAUGUGAAACAGAAAGAGACAUGCAUCAAGAAAAGAAAAAAAACUUUAAAAGAAUGCUGCAUACAUUAUAUACACAACCAACAGCAUUUAUAUAAUGGUUGGUUACUUGUAUGUGGCAACUAGGAAAGGAUAAAAUGUGCUUUUGUUCUUAUAACAACCUUGUUUUUGCGGUAAAUUUACCAGCUAGUAUUUGGCCUCUAUUAAACACUGUUCGGCUCUUGAAUAUAGAUCUAGCCUGUCUUUUCAUUAUAGAUCAGGGGACAAUGUCAUUGAGAACAACCAAACAUUUUGGUUUUUAUUUUUUACUUUUUUAUUUUCUUUGAGUGCAUGAACAUUAUUGUGGAAGUGAGUGCAUUAUGGGUGUCUGGUCAUUCUAAGUUGCUUCACUGGAGUAAUUAGAAUAAAAAUUAUACGUGUGCCAUAUCAGCACCAAGGAUGCACGCUUGUCAUUUUUAGUGAUUACAUGGGACACAUGCUAUGUUAUCAUACAUAUGUGUGUGUGUGUCUGUCUCUGUGCGUGUGUAUGUGUGUGUGUG
rnacentral:misc_RNA from 1 species